rnacentral:rRNA from 1 species
UACGUAGGUGGCAAGCGUUGUCCGGAAUUACUGGGCGUAAAGGGCGCGUAGGCGGUCUGCUAAGUUGGAUGUGAAAACUCUGGGCUUAACCCAGAGCCUGCAUUCAAUACUGACAGGCUAGAGUUCUGGAGGGGAUAGCGGAAUUCCUGGUGUAGCGGUGAAAUGCGUAGAUAUCAGGAGGAAUACCGGUGGCGAAAGCGACUCUCUGGACGGUAACUGACGCUGAGGCACGAAAGCGUGGGGAGCAAACAGG